rnacentral:rRNA from 1 species
UACGAAGGGGGCUAGCGUUGUUCGGAAUUACUGGGCGUAAAGCGUGCGCAGGCGGUCUUCCAAGUCAGUGGUGAAAGCCCGGAGCUCAACUCCGGAAUUGCCAUUGAAACUGUGAGGCUUGAGGACGAGAGAGGUGAGUGGAAUUCCCAGUGUAGAGGUGAAAUUCGUAGAUAUUGGGAAGAACACCGGUGGCGAAGGCGGCUCACUGGCUCGUUUCUGACGCUCAGGCACGACAGCGUGGGGAUCAAACAGG